UGGUUGACGCUGCUGUCGAAGUUGGAUGAUAUUGCUCACGGAGGAGGCUUCUGAGAAGGGCAUAAAUGGGUUUUAAAAAAGCAGUGAAUUGGAAUGGGAAUGGCAGAUAAAGAGAAACACAUUUUCUGCAUUUUCUAAUGAUUACUCACAUAGUUGAGCCUUGCACGUUAUAUUUAUUAGAACGACCACCCCCCAUUUAGUUUUCCUUUGAAGAGUCUUUCUUGUAAACCGUGGGUGCGUGUGUGUUUGCGUCCCGAUCUGCCAGGGCUGGGCGCCAAGUGCAAAGUGCGCAGCCGCGAAGUGGAGUCGGCGCCGGCGGGAGCGCGGGGCUCAGGGCCAGGGCCCGCCUCCAGGGGGCGGUGUGCGCCCCCGGCGCUGGAGCAGCCGCGUUUCGGGGACCCGGGCAGGCGUGGGGGGCUGCGCUGAGCUCCAGGCCUCCUGCAGGUAGGGAUGCUUUGCUGACAGAUUCGGGCGUCCUCCCCUGAACGAAUGUCCUGGCGGGGCGUGCCCAGCCACCAUCCAGCUUCAGAGGCAAUGGCCGGGCGUCGUGAGAAGGGGAGGGAGAAGGAAGCGGAAGAGAGAGAGUUGGAAAGACUAGAGGAAGAGGUGGCCACGUCUUUUGCCAUCCCAGCUUUAAACUGCAGUGUUUAAGGCCUCGUCUGCCCUGCUAAGGUCACCGAACUUUUUACUUUAUGUGAAAAGUGCUUCCCAAGGGAGGCACAGGGACUCCGGUUCUGAAACCGAUUAAUGGUCUUAGAGCCCCCAGUAAGCCGUUACCAAAGUGUCCGGGUCACAGUUGCAGAGGAAGUGAGAAGCGUGUUCGACCUCAUUUGAAACGGCUUCACAGAGGGUGCAAUAAGAAUCGUAUUACUAAUGUGGUGUCCUCUGGAAUGGUCACAUGAACACAGUUCCCUGCAGAUGUAAUUGGGAGAGAAGGCACAGUCCUGACACAGGGUAAGACUGUGGAGGUGUAUUGCUGUCCCUACCAGGACGGAACAUGCUGCUGGUUUUUCCAUGUCUCGGUCUCCUUCUGCUGAGUAUUCUUCUAUUUCAAUCAUGGGUGUAGCAGCCCAUUUCAACAUACUGAAAACACUCACCCUAGGGCUUUCAAGUCCCUGCUGUGGACAAUCUGCAUGUGACAGCUGAGACAGGAGGAAGAGGCCCAAGGGAACGCAUUCCUGCUAGGACAGAGCUGGCUGGCUGCACAGUGGAGAGUGUUUGCUGGAAGCUGCUACCAGCCAUGGGGCACCUACCCGCCCAGCGGCCCUUGCAUCCAGAUGCAGAGCCCUGGACAAAGGACGGAGCUGUGAAAACAGUGCCUGGAGGAUCUGAUCCCUUCUAGCAAGGCCAAGAGACACGGCUGGGCUGGGGAGGACGGGGUCUCCAGGCCUCACCAUGGCCACUUAUCUAGACGCCAGCAUCAAAAGGUUCAAAGCCCAGGUCACAGGCUCAUGAAAAAAUUAAGCAGGUAUCAAAAAAUAUCACAAAGGCAACAGUUUUAUGACAUGAAAACAUCUAUCAGAGACAAUAUAAACCUGUCUGCUAAUAGAACCAGGUAAAACUGUCUAAAUUAAAUUCCGAAGAAAUUUCAAUUUUAUUUUACUAAUGAUUUUAAAAACUAGCUUUAUUUACCCAACAUGACUAAAGUCCCAUUGACCUGAAAAGCAUUUGGGCUUAUUUACUUAAUUUAUGAGUACUCCUUUAUUUAUAAGUCUAUUCAGUACCAUGUAGACAAUGUUCAAACACAGACAUAUGCACGCAUACAUAAAAAUACAAAUGAACACAAAAAAAUAAAGACUACAUGCUUUUAUUUUUAAAAUUUUAGCCAUGAGACUGGUAAAAUUCACUAGUUUAAAAGGACAGUUGUAUUAAAUUGUGUCUCUGUAAAUGGAACAAUUUAAAAUGUAUCUGUCCUACAUGGUUGAAGUCCUUACCUUACAGAGUUUUAGAGAAAGCAGGGUAGCAAAUUUACAUCUCAAAGCACAGAGAGAAUUUUAGCUUUCUCAAGGAGGAGUUUGAGUGUGUUAGAGCAAGAUUAAAAAUGGAUUUCAAGGUAACAAAAAGUUAUAGAAAUCCACCACAGGAUGUUUUUCAUUUUGUUUUUGGAGGCAGGGUCUCACUCUGUCGCUGAGGCUGGAGCGCAAUGGCGCAAUCAUGGCUCACUGAAGUCUCGACCUGGGUUCAAGCAAUCCCUUUGCCUGAACCUCCUGAGUAGCUGCUACUAUAGGCACACGUCAUCAACCUGGCUAAUUUAAAAAUAUAUAUAUAUUUAUAUAUAAAAUAUAAAAUAUAUUCUAAUAUAUUUAUAAUAUUUUAUAUAUUUAUAAU
rnacentral:lncRNA from 10 species